GAAGGUUCACUAGCACUAAGAGUAAACUGUGACGGCAGAGGAGAUUUGUUUCAUUCUCUUCGCUCUUUCAUUUCAUCGCAAAAUUAUGCGGGUUGUUGUUUUUCGGUGUCUUUCUGUCAUCAGUGUUGUUGUAUAUUUGGAGACAUCUAAACAUAAUGGGGGCGGCGGCAGUUUUGUCACGGCGGAAAAACCAGGUCAACAAGGUGGUGUGACGACAUACAAUAUUGCCGACAUUUAUGGGGAAGACCUGAUGAAGGAACUGGAGCCUGAAGGAUGGCAAGAAUACGGUGCUCGAAAGUGGGGUAAGAUGUCUGUUUAGCGAAUUCCUGUACAAAGAACCGUUAAUGCUCUGAAGUAUCAAACAUGGAUAUUAUGUUACACAUGAAGUAUAGAUGAUAUUUGAUAUGAGGAAUUGUGAAUAUGUUUUAUUUUUUCCGUUAUCAAUGAGAUGCGUUUUUUACUUUUAGGAUGUACUUGCUUGUUUGUCAUUUGCUCUGUCAUCGUUACUUUUGAAAAAUCAUAAUAC
rnacentral:lncRNA from 1 species